rfam:Gymnopus luxurians FD-317 M1 unplaced genomic scaffold GYMLTscaffold_164, whole genome shotgun sequence.
GCAUUAAUGGGGUAGUGGUAACCUGGGUCGUUGCCAUCUCCUUAUCGGAGUUGUCAAGCUCGACCCGCCGGGGGUUCGAUUCCCUCUUAAUGCA